UACGGAGGGUGCAAGCGUUAAUCGGAAUCACUGGGCGUAAAGCGCGCGUAGGCGGUGGUGUAAGUCAGAUGUGAAAGCCCUCGGCUCAACCGGGGAAUUGCAUUUGAUACUGCAUCACUUGAGUACUGGAGAGGAUGGCGGAAUUCCAGGUGUAGGAGUGAAAUCCGUAGAUAUCUGGAGGAACACCAGUGGCGAAGGCGGCCAUCUGGACAGUAACUGACGCUGAGGUGCGAAAGCGUGGGUAGCAAACAGG
rnacentral:rRNA from 1 species